rnacentral:tRNA from 1 species
UUCCAUGUUUGGGAAUCGAACCCAAAUUACUUGUUUGGAAAACAAACAUACUACCAUUGUAUGAACAUGGA